rnacentral:rRNA from 1 species
UACGUAGGUGGCAAGCGUUGUCCGGAAUUAUUGGGCGUAAAGCGCGCGCAGGCGGUCCUUUAAGUCUGAUGUGAAAGCCCACGGCUCAACCGUGGAGGGUCAUUGGAAACUGGGGGACUUGAGUGCAGAAGAGGAAAGCGGAAUUCCACGUGUAGCGGUGAAAUGCGUAGAGAUGUGGAGGAACACCAGUGGCGAAGGCGGCUUCCUGGACCGAUACUGACGCUGAGGCGCGAAAGCUAGGGGAGCAAACGGG